GUAGUUCACCAAUAUAAGCUUUUCCAACACAUAUUGUCAUCUCAGAAAUGUUCAACAACACUACCUUUCUCAAAAUCGCCCGUUUCUCAAGAGUUCUCAAGACUCACUGUCUUUUAUACUCACCAAAACGCGACUGUCCGUUAGCCUCGCCCAGCAAACUGUUUCUGCAUCAACAAUCAAAGACCUUGCAAAGCACACAGGUUUGCCAACAUGAAUUUAGCAUAGAUAUUUUAUACAUCACACGUACACACUUAUGAAAACAGUACGAAAAUUGAAGAGAGUUCUCAAAUAUUUCUGCACCAAUACAUAAUACGAUUGUCUUGCAAAUUAUUAGUUUUUGUAAUGAAAUGAUAAUAUUUCAAUUUAUGUUGACAUAAUUAAAAUCACUGUAAUUUUAUAUUAAUAUAAUUGUUUUUACAUGUCGAUUCACGGCACCGCAUAGCUCGCCCGCCGAUGGUAUCGAUAGUUUCAGUAGUCCGUUACAUUACAUGGUGCACAAACAAGGUGAUAAACGAUUACAUAACUUUGUACGUAGGUGCGAUGCUGAAGCGAAGUGUCCUGGCUGGCUGCACCUGAUGUAAUGGGCUGAAACUGGAGCGGAGCCCGUAGAGCUCUCCCACUCCGGCUAGAGUGUGCUGUCGUCGGUGACUCGUAGUGCCAACUUGAGAAACUAUUCUGUGGCAUCGUUGCUAUCGAUACCACAACAGGAACAGCAACUAAACUUAAAUGAGACUUCAGGAGCACUGUCAUUUGUGUAUUCAACACUAAAACAGAUGAGUAACAAUUUAAAUAAGAUUAAUACAUAACAUUGUGGUUGUGUGUCAAAAGGCCUAUCUAUUACGCAAGAAAAAAGUCUUAUAUUUGAGUACGGUGUACUAUCAGUGGAUGAAUUACUCAAAAAAUGAAGCACUGCAGACCUACAAAGACAAUUCUUGUUAACAGGAUAUGUUAGUGUUAAAUUAUAUCUGUCAAUUACAAAAGCAGUCUUUGUUUGAGAAAGUUAACAACUAAAUAGUUAUAUGCAUAAUGCUCAGCAUUACAGGUACAUACUAAAGCAGAGGUUAAAGAGCUGUUGCAUACUAUGAAGUGUUGUUUCUGAAAUAUUAUUACUAUUACAUUAAGAUUGUUUUAAGAAUAAAUUCCACAGUACACUGUAAAGUUCUCAUGUAUCUGCAACCUUAUUGGAAACAUACAAAUCUUAUAAAUGUAGCAACUGAAUAAAGUUACUAAAUGUAAGUUUGAACUGUCCCAAAAGUUAUAAAAAUCAUUCUCAAAUUUUUAUAGCAAAUAUCUGUUAUUUAAGACACUUGAAAUGAUUGUAUUAAUAUGAUCUGGUGUGUAUAUGUUAAAAUACAUGAAAAUAAACAUUUUCUGUAUUAUUGUUCAUAUA